UACGUAGGGUGCAAGCGUUGUCCGGAAUUAUUGGGCGUAAAGAGCUCGUAGGCGGUUCGUCGCGUCGGCUGUGAAAACCUGAGGCUCAACCUCAGGCCUGCAGUCGAUACGGGCGGACUUGAGUACUGCAGGGGAGACUGGAAUUCCUGGUGUAGCGGUGAAAUGCGCAGAUAUCAGGAGGAACACCGAUGGCGAAGGCAGGUCUCUGGGCAUUAACUGACGCUGAGGAGCGAAAAGCAUGGGGGAGCGAACAGG
rnacentral:rRNA from 1 species